UAACAAUCACGCGGCUGCUACCUUUCUGCCAGGGCAGCAGGAUGGGUAGAAACGAAAAGUAGAGCAGGAAGUUGCUCUGCUUAUUGGAAGCUUGUGACCCAGCCCUGCUGCUGCCUGUCGGUCUGCCGGGAGCCUGGAAAGAUGCGGGAGCCCCGGAUCACGUGAAGGGGCCAGUCCUACAGAUCCAAAACUAUAGGAUCUCCACGGCACACGGCAGCAACAGGAUAUCCAAGAGGAGUUCCAGUGAGGGGCCAAGUAACGACGGUGCAGCAAAAACCAGAGGACUGGAAGCAGAUCAAUGAUUCAUUGCAAUGAACACCCUCAAGUAAAGACAGAAAGAUUUAAUAAUGAGACCGUGUGGCAGCCUGGCCUGGGUGGAGCGGCUAAUCAAAGCAAAGCCCCAAGCAGCCUGCCUUCCUGCCAUCCACAAACGGUGAACUUUCGGGCAAGGGAUGAGCUGCAAAAAUGUGAUUGGAAACCUUAAAUUCUCGGGCUCUGGCCAUGGCUCCACUGAAGGCUUGCCUGCCUGGUGUACAGAAAGCCCUGGAUUGGAUCCCUGUGUCUCAUAAAGCUAGGUGUCAUGGUACACAGCUACAGUUCUGGAACUUGGGAGCUGGAGGCAGUGGGGACAGAAGAUAAAGGUCAUCCUUAUCUGUGUACCAAGUUUGAAACCAGAGAGUCCUACGAGCAACCGUUCUAAAGGAAAGAACACUUCAAUUCUCAGUCUACAGCUGUGUAGCCUACACCUAAAAAUGCUGAAACUUGAAACUGACAGAUAGGAGAAACUGGGGGUAACUAUAAAUAAGAAAUGGAAUUUUGAUGAAAGGCCUUAUACCUAGUGCAAGUGUAACAUCUUUUAAAGAAUAUUUAUGGAGAAUCCCUCCUGUGGGUGUUCCUUCUCAGUUUUCCUUUAUAAAUCUACUUUCAGUAUAAAUAAGUAAGUAGAUAGACAAGUAGGUAGAUACAUAUAGAUAGACAGACAGACAUGUUUACGACAGCUGGGAAGAUGGCUCAAUGGGUUAUGUACUUGUCACACAAUCAUGCAGAUCUGAACUUGGCAGUGCACCCCUGUAAUCCCAACAUGUGUCUAUAAUCCCAGUAGUAGGAAAGUAGAGACAGGAAAAUCCCUGGGGCUGGCUGGCCAGGUAGGUUUGCCAAAUCACUGAGCUCUAGGUUUAGUGAGAGACUGUCUGCCAAAUCAUUGAGCUCUACGCUUAGUGAGAGACUUUGUCUGGAAGAGAUCAGUAGAGCAAGACUUCAUAUAUAUACCACACAUGCACAAAAUAUUUUGGUAUAGUUGUGUAUAGUUGUAUAGCCAGUUAUUCAUGGUAUAAAGAAAAAGAAAUCAAACAUUUUAAACGUAGACAUAGUAAGCCCUUUAAAAGUCAAGGACUGAUUAACCUUUACAAGCCAGAAACCAAGAAUGCAUCAGUUUUCACAGUAUGGACAUGCUACAAUAGAAGUACAUAUUAGCUGAGAAACAAGCAAGCGAUCGGUAUCACUGUACGACUAGAGGAAGAAACAAUAGUGAAAGGAAUAUCACCAUCUGCCUCUUGGCAAUACACAGCAACCUAGCUAAUUAAAAGACUUAGCUACAAGGGACAGAAAGGGAUGGUAGGCAAUCUGAAGGUACUUUGCUUUAUUAACAGGUAACUUUCUGGGCAUUGAUAGGCCUGCUAUUUUGUUGUAUUCCCUUAUUAUCAGCUUAAUACAUCAAGAACAAUCUACUACGUAAAUAGUAUUGAACUAUUCGAGGCACAAGAUGAUUUUGGAUCUUCAGGGUAACCAUGUAAAUUCUGUGCUAAUAUCUGUGCAGAUGUUACAACAGCAGAGUUAGGCGACAUGGCAGCUGCCUUAGUAGGAAUCAUGGCAGCACCUUCAAACUGCCCUGGGAGUCACUGCCUUCUUCACCUUCACCCAUUAACAAGAAAGGAAAUGAUAAUUUCACAUGAGAAAACCCUUGGCAAAACAAAGAAUAUAUUUUCAUAAACCCCUGUGGUGGUUUGAGAGAAUAGCCACCAUAGACUCAUAUUUGAAAGAUUGAUCCCUAGUUGGUGGAACUGCUUGGGAAGGAUUGGGAGGUGUGGCCUUGUUGGAGGAGGUGUGUCACUGGGGGUGAGCUUUCAAAUUUCAAAAGACUACAUUCUGGGCAUUGGUGGCACACACCUUUAAUCCCAGCACUCAGGAGGCACUGGCAGGAGGAUCUCUGUGAGUUUAAGACCAGCCUGGUCUACAGAGCGGGUUCCAGGACAGGCUCC